UGAUCCUUAUCGAAGUUCUCUCUCUCCGAAGACCGUGGAAGCUCUUAUUUGUACGCAACAAUGAAUAAGGAAACCAACUAAAAUCAAUAUAAAAGAACAACUUGAUGAGUUGGAGCAAUUAGAUUCGGUUGUCUUGGAAUCAAUUGAUAACGAUUAAGGAGUUGGUGGCAACCAUUGCAUGCUGCAAUUGUUUUUUCAUGGUUGAGAUUGUUGGCAACUUGGCGUAUUUUGAAGUAUGGUGGUGCAGUUUUCAAGUUGGGGAUGGUUCUAUAUUCUGCUGGUUCUGCAAUCUG